GCAGAAAAAACAAUCUAUUUAAUUUUUUUGAUAAACACCAAAAUUAUUAAAAGGAGUAUAAUGAAUACUCCAAUCCAUACCUCAAAGAAUAAUAAAGACCGAUUCCAAGAUUACAAUGAAACAAACACUAACAUAAUUACAUAGUUCCACAAAAUUCCAUAGCACAAACACCUAAGUGACUAAAUACUCCACCAUCAAGAGCAAUUAUAUUAAGAGCUCCAAAAUACUUCAAAUCAGCACACAUGCACAUACAGCAAGUAAACCAAUAAUAUUGGUGUCAAAUAGAAGCCACCUAUACACAAUAAACAUUGUAGUGGAAAAGCAGCCACAAGAGCAUAGAAGCAAGAGGAUUCACACAAUGAGCUCUUUAAUAUGUUCGUCACUCUAUUCAUCUAUAAAAGGAAUUCAUACGAAAAAUAAAAAAGUACAAAUAAUUUUGGUCAUCACAACUCACGUAUCUGUCCUACAUUGACC
rnacentral:lncRNA from 1 species